rnacentral:rRNA from 1 species
AAGASCUUGCGCUUUUGGAGCGGCCGAMGCCUGAUUAGCUUGUUGGUAAGGUAAAAGCUUACCAAGGCUUCGAUCAGUAGCUGGUCUGAGAGGACGGCCAGCCACACUGGGACUGAGACACGGCCCAGACUCCUACGGGAGGCAGCAGUGGGGAAUUUUGGACAAUGGGGGCAACCCUGAUCCAGCCAUGCCGCGUGAGUGAAGAAGGCCUUCGGGUUGUAAAGCUCUUUCAGCCGGAACGAAACGGUUACGGUUAAUACCCGUGAUUACUGACGGUACCGGAAGAAGAAGCACCGGCUAACUACGUGCCAGCAGCCGCGGUAAUACGUAGGGUGCGAGCGUUAAUCGGAAUUACUGGGCGUAAAGCGUGCGCAGGUGGUUUUGUAAGUCAGAUGUGAAAGCCCCGGGCUCAACCUGGGAACU